UGCGGCUUAAGUCUCACAGUGGUUUGGAUUUUUCUGCCAAGUGAGACAGGAAUUUCUCCAGGACUUAAGCAUGUUUCCAUGUUUAAGAUGGAUACAAAUGAAGGUCCAAAGAGAGGACAGAAGAUUGCCUGAGAAUUAGGAUGGGGCUCAGUUCUCACACAGAGAGUCAGACCAGGACCCAUGGGGGCAGAAGACUUCCUGAGAAUUAGGAUAGGGUGGAUGAAGAAGAGCCUGGAAUAUUAAAUCAAAAUCCAGUGAAUCUAGGAAUUGAUUACACUAUUUUGAAGAAGCAUUUUGAGCAGAGAUCAUCCACUUUUUGUUUGUAUAGGGUAGUAAUGUCUGAAAAGGACAUUACACCAUAUUUCCUCCGGCCCCAUUUGAUCAGAUGUCAAAACAAGUAGAUACACAAGACUAGAGAAAAAGAUCUAGAUCUAAAGAAAACCAGAUUAUCUUCAAUCUGAAGGAAAGGAAGAUGUGUCAGAAUAAGUUAAAAAAGGAGGCUGAUGAAAAUGAUGGUCAAUCCUCGGUACCAGAAAAACACAUCACUAGCAGCUCCUGUGACAGAGAACCCAAGAAUUAGGAGAAAAGUGUGUGACAGACCACCUAAAAGACAUAAAAGACUUUGUCACUGAAUUUUAAAUCAAUUCAAUUUGGGUUGUUAUAAGGGAAGGAAUGUGUGGUAUCCUAUCCACUAUCUUUUAUGUUUUGUUGUUUAGGAUUUUGUCCCAGUGGGGAUCCUGUAGAGGGGGAGGGGGGAAAGGGAAAGGGGGAAAAUUGAGUUGUUUAAGAAUAAUCUCUUCGUUAAAUCUAUAUAAGAUUACUUUGUGUUUGUGAGAGAAGCAGCUAUAAAACAGGUAUCUAUUAGCCUUGCUGCUCUCCAGAUUCCAGCACGCUGGCUCUUCACUAUUUUGGAGUGGCUAACGUUCUGAAAUGGUAUCAUCUCAAGAGGCUGUGCCAUGUACCGUUUCUGCCUGUGCAACUCAGCUCAUAGAGAGAAGUGACAGAAUUGAUAUGAUCUGACUUGUGAAAUCCUCGAGAGAUUCUGAAGAGACAAUGAAUGAGUGAACUGUUCCAUAUCUCUGCUCUCAUCUCUUUCCCAAUACAGAGCUCCUUUUUUGCUCUAUCACAACAGUGAAUAUGCACUUCAGGAUCAACAGCUACUAAAAGAAGAGGAGUCUGUAGUGUCAACUCACCUUUAUUCAGUUGACUCUUUUAUUGUGCAGAGUUCUUACUGAAGUUAAGCUGAUGAGAUAUUAAAUAAAAUUAAAAAGCUAUGAGUAGAAUGGGUAGUACAAGGCCUAAUAAUGAGGAGAACGUUACUGAGUGAUUUUCUCCCAGCUUUGUACUCGGAAAGGGCUGCAUACAGACCGUGGUAACUUGAUCUGUAUAAUAAAUGGUCAUCUGCCUUCUCUGAUUGUGCAUCCAAUGAAAUUACAAUAAUACUAAGAGCAGAAAGACACCAUUCUAGAAAACUGUUUGCAAUACAACACAUUGUUGGGAUUGCUCCAUUACUAAAUCAUUGAGAUUUCUGAGACACUGAUAAUGCUGUGGUUAAAACUUAAAACAUUAAUUCCACUUUACUUGUGAC